AAGCCAGCUGCAGAGGAUGACAUAAAUCAUGUCAGGUGUGGAGGACCCCGGCCUGACAAACGGGCUGAGAAGCAGCGGUUAAAUUCUCUCCUCAUCUUCUCUCCCAUCAUGUGGGGACUGAGCGUGAGGCUUCGUAAGAGGCAGGUGGAAUUUCAGUCAGAGGAAAGAAAUUCUCAAUUUUAUUAAAUCUUAUGGAUUUCAUCUGACUUGAGCCUGUAAGAUGUCUUAGUUUGUCUUUUAGAUCAUUAUUUUGAAACUGCUUUUAGAAGAAACUGAAUAUCAGUUAAUACUUUCGUCAGCCUAGGACUUAUUUUCCUAUAAUUAAAAAGAAUAAAGAAAUGCUUGAUUUCCUUGAGGAAGGAUGCGACCUGGGACGUGAGUACAGUGAGAGGCGAGAAGUAUCUUCGAUAGUAGCAGGUAGGCCUGUUCCUGGGCCACGACCACCUCCACAACCAAGGGAUUAAGAGGAGAAGUUCCAGAGUGGACGUCCCUCAAGGCUGAAGUGUUGAGGAUUGUAUUCAGAACUGGUGCCCUCAGAAGAAGAGGAAGAGACACCAAAAAGCUCUCUCUCCGUGCGCUCACAGAAGAAAGGCCAGGUGGGGACAGUGAGCAGGUGGCGUCUGCAAGCCAGGAGGAAGGCUCUCACCAGAAACCAGCCCUGCUGACACCUUGGUCAUGGACUUCCAGCCUCCAGAACUGUACCCUCUGGGAAGCGCUCUCUGAAACAGCACAGCGCAAUCACUGGAUGUGGGCUUUCUCUGCAGCACCAUCAGUUGUUGGAGCGACCGAGGUGAAAGAGUGAGCGACGCAACGACAAUGGAAGCUGAGGUCUGAGUCCUGUGAUACCGGCUUUGAAGAUGGAGGGAGGAGUCACAAACCAAGAAGCGUAAGUGGCCAGUGGAAGGUGGAAAAGGCAAGGAAACAGAUGGUGGCCCCGAGUCUCAGAAGGAGCGCAGUCCCGCUGACACCCGAUUGUAGCCCAGGGAGACCCGUUGUGGGACUUGUGGCUUCCAGAAUGGUGAACAGCAAACUUGUGAUUCCUGUGCCACUCAGUGUGUGGUAAUUGGUCAGAGCAGCCCCAGGAAACCCAGAGAGAUGAGAAGCUGACUGCUAUGAAUUGUUUCAAAGGACGGGAUUUUGAAAGUG
rnacentral:lncRNA from 1 species